rnacentral:lncRNA from 1 species
UUUUUUUAUAAAAAAAAUGAUAUUAAAUUAUUGAUAUAUUCCAACCCAUUUAAUUACAAAGAGGAUCAAAGGAUCCCAUGUGUGAAUAAGCUGCCUAAGGUUACAAAAUAUUAAUAUGAAACAACAUGAAUAUAAGGUAAUUAACCAGAGUAAUAAAAAAAGAAAUAGCUAACCCCAACAAGGCCAAGACCCCUCAAUUGUGAAAAUAGAGCAAUUACAAACGAGCUGACAUAGGGGCUCGAUCACAGUACAUGGUCUCGCAAAAAUCAUUGGCAUAAAAAUGAAUAGCCCAUCAGACUUUCAACCAGCAUCAUGUUAUGGAAAUAUACUCCACAUAUAUUCAAAAAGAAAUACCCCAGACAAGCUUCUAUAACAGAGAAAUAUCAUCUACGUGUUAUAUGAAAUAUGUAUGAACUGAUAUCAGCAGACAUAAUAUUU